rnacentral:rRNA from 1 species
GUAAUGAUAGUUCAUCAUUUAUAUGAUACGUGAGUUGGGUUAAUAACGCCGUAAGGCAGUUAGUUCCCUAUCUAUGAUAU